UGUUGCUUUAAGUAAUUGCAAUUAUUAUUUUAAUUUUAAUUUUUUUUAUUUAACUUUUUUUUCUUUAUUUUCUUUAAGGAGUCGCUGGAGACUGGAAGAAUCAUUUCACUGUAGCUCAGAAUGAAUAUUUUGAUAGAAUUUAUCAGGAAAAAAUGAAAGACUUCAACAUUAAACUUUUUUGGGGAGAACAUAAAUAAACUUUGUGAACAAAGGUGAAUCAGUGAGUCUUAAGAGAACAUGUUUAAGGGGCCUCUUGUAAAUUAUGACAGUUAUUUAAAUAAGCCACACUAGGGAUUUAAUUCACUAAACAGUUAAUUGUGGUGAAUAAGAAACAAUGUUAUCUUCUUUCUAUUUAGUACAUAUAGUUCUUGGUGGUGAAUUACCAUAUAUUCUUAUUUUUAAUUUAAGUAAUAUAACAUUAUGAUAAAGUUGUCUCUUAUCUGAAUCUGUUCUGUCUUCUGAUCCCUGUGAGCGAGACAACACAGUGUAAAGUUCAAGGAGCUUCUGAUGUUUAAUAGGUGGUACAACAGAGUGUAUUCAAGAGUAAACAUGGGUGGUCUUAUGAGCAUUAUCCAAUAAAAACAAUUUGUCUAUCUUAUCUUAACAUAAGAUAGCUUGCAGGUGUAAUGGGGGUGGAGUAAUUUGCGCAGCUAGAAAUAGAUAACUAACUACGCAGUUAGUAAUACAGAAGAAGAAAACAGGAAAUAAGAGCAACACCCUGAGAUAGGAAAGUUUAUAGCUCUGUGUUUAGGGGUAUAUUAACUAAGCGUUAUAUAGAUAAAGUGUAUUAUUCCCAUCAGUUGACUAGAAUAUAAUUUAGCUAGUCGCUGCAGUUGUUCUCUCCAUGUGCAACAAUUAUAUCUGCAAUCAUUUUAUUAUACUUAACAUGUUAUUUCUUGACUUGUUUUAUUUGUAUUCAUCACACUGUAACAAAAAUAUUAACUGUACAUUUAAAAAUGUAAGCUGAAAAUCUACAGAAUGAUUGAUCAAAUUAUAUAUAAAUCUGUGAAAAUGAUAACAAACUGUGUGAAAGAGGCCUAAAUAAAAUGAAAAUAACUAUUG